rnacentral:tRNA from 1 species
GCUGAUAUAGCUCAGUAGGUAGAGCACACCCUUGGUAAGGGUGAGGUCCUCAGUUCAAUUCUGGGUAUCAGCAUCAUUG